UUCCGUUAGUAUAUGAAUGAUAGUGUUAAUCCAAAAUAAAAAAAUACAGAACAUUCAUAAUUAAAAAAACCAUUCUAAAUUUGUCAAUCCGUAAUUCAAAAUAUGCAUUCCAGAUUCAGAAAUCCAUAAUUGAAAAAAAUCAUUCCAGAUCCACCAGUCCGUAAUAAAAAUUAGGUUUCUAAAUUCAGAAAUCCAAAAAUCAACAAUUUAUGCAAACUUUGUUUCCAAAGCACUCUCUCAUCCUGAAAGCAACAUGAUUCACUUCUGGAUUGAUGAAUCUGUAAUACACUCCCAAAUCCUGAUUUCAAAUAAAAGGUGAAGGUCAUCGGGAUUUAAAAAAUUGUGGAGAUACAGGAAGAAACUGCCUUGUAACCAUUAAAGACUGUAGAUCUAAUAUAGCGGCCCAGUGUAUCAGCAUAGUAAUAAAAUUGUUAAUCGUCAAGGCCCAACAUCAGAGAAUUAGGGUCAAUAACUGCCUUUUAAUUAGUUCUUAUUUGCUGAUCGUUGAUUGUUUCUUUAUCAUCCCUCAUGGGAGACGAGGGGAAAAAACAGAGGAGAAAGAAAAAAAAUGCAAAGUAUUUAAAUGGGGUAAAUGACAUGAUGCAAAAAAUGGGAAUAAAAAGGGAGAAGAGUUGAAAAUUAAAUGUAAAACAAGGUGGCU
rnacentral:lncRNA from 1 species